CGUAGGGUGCGAGCGUUAAUCGGAAUUACUGGGCGUAAAGUGUGCGCAGGUGGCCGCGCAAGUCGAGUGUGAAAUCCCCGAGCUUAACUUGGGAAUUGCGCUCGAAACUACGUGGCUCGAGUGUGGCAGAGGAAGGUGGAAUUCCACGUGUAGCGGUGAAAUGCGUAGAGAUGUGGAGGAACACCGAUGGCGAAGGCAGCCUUCUGGGCCAACACUGACGCUCAUGCACGAAAGCGUGGGGAGCAAACAGGAUUAGAUACCCUGGUAGUCCACGCCCUAAACGAUGAUGACUAGUUGUUGGGGGAGUUAAAUCCCUUAGUAACGUAGCUAACGCGCGAAGUCAUCCGCCUGGGGAGUACGGUCGCAAGAUUAA
rnacentral:rRNA from 1 species